UGUAUACAUCAUUCUAACUUAACUUCUUCUUAACUGUAUGUUCUUGGAUGAAUUCUUUCCCCUCUCUAGGCUUGGAUUCCUCAAAUGUAAAAUGAAACUCCUGCCUACCUGGUGUUCAAGGAUACCAUGAAGAACAAAGGAGGGAAUAGAUAUAAAAGCCUUUUGCAAACCCCAAAGCUGUGCUAGAAAGAAAGUGAAGUCGCUCAGUCCUGUCCGACUCUUUGCGACCUCAUGCACUGUAGCCUACCAGGCUCCUCAAUCCAUGGGAUUUUCCAGUCCUGCAACCUAUUAGAAGAUGGAGGACUUUGGACAUUUUGGUGAGUUGGGAUGAACUUUCAUUUCAAAUCUCUUGGAUCCAGUACCAUUUUCCUAUCUGUAUAUGGUUUUGUGCCUGAGUCCAGGGAAGAAGUCGUUAACUUGGACAGAUUUGUGGCCUGGUGUUGAGAAAAUGUAGAGUUGUGGAGCCUUGGCCAAAAGAGAUGCGCAGAGCCAAGUAGUUCG
ensembl:lncRNA